rnacentral:rRNA from 1 species
AAACGGAACUGUUUGUUGGUGACUCUAAAUAACUUUGUGUUGAUCGUAUGACCUUUGUGUCGACGACAUAUCUUUCAAGUGUCUGACUUAUCAACUUUUAGACGGUACAUUAUAUGUCUACCGUGGUUGUAACGAGUACAGAGAAUCAGGGUUUGGUUCUGGAGAGGCCGCCUGAGAAACGGCGACCACUUCCAAGGAAGGCAGCAGGCGCGCAAAUUACCCCACUCUCAAAACGAGGAGGUAGUGAAGAGAAAUAACGAUGUUAGUCUUCUAUAGGCUGACAAUCGGAAUGGGAACACUGUAAACAGGUUAUCGAUUAACAAUUGGAGGGCAAGUCUGGUGCCAGCAGCCGCGGUAAUUCCAGCUCCAAUAAGGAAAACUAAAGUUGCUGUGUUUAAAAAAGCUCGUAGUUGAAUUUCGGGUAUUUGUUGCUAGCUGGUCUCAUUGGUCCAUGUUGGUUAACUAGAUCCUCAUCUGCUGGACGUCUGGCGAUGAUCUUUAUCGGUUGUCGUCAGUUGCCAGCACGUUUU